rnacentral:piRNA from 1 species
UAACCUUUAAAGGAAGGAGUAGGUGGUUC